UACGAAGGGGGCUAGCGUUGUUCGGAUUUACUGGGCGUAAAGCGCACGUAGGCGGAUUGUUAAGUCAGGGGUGAAAUCCUGGAGCUCAACUCCAGAACUGCCUUUGAUACUGGCAAUCUUGAGUCCGGAAGAGGUGAGUGGAACUCCUAGUGUAGAGGUGGAAUUCGUAGAUAUUCGCAAGAACACCAGUGGCGAAGGCGGCUCACUGGCCCGAUACUGACGCUGAGGCACGAAAGCGUGGGGAGCAACAGGAU
rnacentral:rRNA from 1 species